rnacentral:rRNA from 1 species
ACAGAGGGUGCAAGCGUUAAUCGGAAUUACUGGGCGUAAAGCGCGCGUAGGUGGUUUGUUAAGUCGGAUGUGAAAGCCCAGGGCUCAACCUUGGAACGGCAUCCGAUACUGGCAGGCUAGAGUACGAUAGAGGAGUGUGGAAUUUCCUGUGUAGCGGUGAAAUGCGUAGAUAUAGGAAGGAACAUCAGUGGCGAAGGCGACACUCUGGAUUGAUACUGACACUGAGGUGCGAAAGCGUGGGGAGCAAACAGG